rnacentral:rRNA from 1 species
AUGAGAACCUUGAAUGGCAAGAGAGAUCUUGUAAGGCCUGGAGCAACUCGUUUUGCAACCUCCUUCCUCACAUUGGCCAGCAUGUGGAAACAACGCCAACAUUUGAAAGCACUAUUUGUUAGCACAGAAUGGCAUGCAAACAAGUUGAAGCUCACCCCACCAGGGAAGAUGGCUGAAAAUACCAUGCUCUCUGUGACGUUUUGGCAAUCGGUGGAGAACUGCAUGAGAGCUUCACAACCCAUUCUUGUUGCUUUGAGGAUUGUUGAUGGUGAUGACAGUCCAGCAAUGCCCGAAAUUUGGGCAGCCAUGGAUGUUGCGAAGACACACAUAAAGGAUGCAUUGUCACAAAGGCCAGGCCUACAAAGUCAAGUGCUAGCAAUUGUUGACAAGAGGUGGGAUCACCAGAUGGAGCAAAAGCUACAUGGGGCUGCAAUGUUUUUGAACCCCAGCAAGUUCUUUCAAAUGAAGGAGACUAACAAAAGACUAGCUGCACGGCUGCGUUCAAUGUUCAAUGAUGUGCUAUGGAAGAUGGUGCCGGAUGAUGAACUACAAUCCAAGAUAAGUAAAUUGGCUGAUGAUUAUGAGCUCACGGAGGGUGAAUGUUUCACCAAGCAAAUGGCAAUUAAAGACCGCGAGAAAAAGAGUCCUCUACUUUGGUGGAAUGCAUAUGGUGGCCUUGCUUAUGACCUCCAAUCUUUUGCAAAACGGAUCAUUAGUCUAUGUUGUUCAUCGUCUGGCUGUGAGCGCAAUUGGAGUGCAUUUUCUCAUAUCCAUACCAAAGGAAGAAACCGUUUGGAGUAUAAGAGAUUGAACAAGCUAGCAUAUGUCUCAUACAACCGGCAAAUGACAACUAGGUUUGAAAAGUUACGCGAGCAAGGUUCCAAAGGAAAGAGGGCUAAUGCACUUAUCCUAGAAGAAUUUCAAUGGGAUAAUGAAUGGGUUGAUGUUACUGCUGAAUUGGUUCAUCAAAAUGACGCUAUGGACGAUGACAAUCCACUACUUUGGUCCCAUGUUGAUGAGGCCGUUGGCGCGACCGAUGGUCUAAGUGGACGCCAUCUUCCAAGGAGGGCUCGUGGUGAUUUCAGUGAGUCUAGUCCUCCCGCUGGCUCUAAUAUCUUUUACACUCAAAGGACAAGUGUGGUUGUCCAUGAUGAAGACUUGCGGGCUGAAUUGGAAGCUGAAGAUAUUGAUAGUGACAUGGAGACCAAUGUUUCACUUCUUUCUAGGAUUCCAUUUUGCGCUAGUCCACCAAGUCCUCCACCAAUAUCCGCAACAACCCCGUGGCAUUUCUGGAAUUACAUUACACAAAAAGAGAACAGGGAAAUGUGUAGACAUCAUAUCAUACAGCUAGAAUGCUAA